ACAUGGGUUUCAUAUUCAAGAGCAAAAGCAGGGGGGAUCAUAAUAGGUUCUUCAAUUAAAUAUGACACAGAUAGUUUAAUAAUAUCUUCAUUUUUCAAUUUGGGUACAAUACCCAAAAUAUCCCUAUCAUAUAUAACUUUAACCAACUUAGAAGACUUACGUGGUCUAAUAUAAACCACACAAGAUGAACAAUUAUACCCAAUUUUUUUGACAUAUCCUACAAACUCAUAAUAAGAGAAUUUAUCAAU
rnacentral:lncRNA from 1 species